CGCUGGCGGCAGGCCUAACACAUGCAAGUCGAGCGGACCCUUCGGGGUUAGCGGCGGACGGGUUAGUAACGCGUGGGAACGUGCCCAAAGGUACGGAAUAGCCUCGGGAAACUGAGAGUAAUACCGUAUGUGCCCCUCGGGGGAAAGAUUUAUCGCCUUUGGAUCGGCCCGCGUUGGAUUAGGUAGUUGGUGGGGUAAUGGCCUACCAAGCCGACGAUCCAUAGCUGGUUUGAGAGGAUGAUCAGCAACACUGGGACUGAGACACGGCCCAGACUCCUACGGGAGGCAGCAGUGGGGAAUCUUAGACAAUGGGGGAAACCCUGAUCUAGCCAUGCCGCGUGGACGAUGAAGGCCUUAGGGUUGUAAAGUCCUUUCAGCUGGGAAGAUAAUGACGGUACCAGCAGAAGAAGCCCCGGCUAACUCCGUG
rnacentral:rRNA from 1 species